AGUUUUCAGCUCCAGAUGGGUCACAGAAACAACAGUUAUGUCUUGCAUUUCCAUGGUACAGUUAUGAGCGAGAAAAAUUAUGUGGCAUUAAGCUUCACCAAGUUAAAAUAAAAGACGAGGAGAGCCUUGGCGCACUGGAACCAAGGUACACAAACAUAAUAGAUAAUAUCAUGUAAUUGUUCAAAACAGGGAAAUAAGCUACUGUACAUGUAAUUUGAUAAAAUUACGUUUAGGCAUUGGGAUAUGUGGGACCAAUUUUACAUCCACUUUUACACUCCAAUUUUACAACCACAUUCCACUCCAAUUUUACAUCCACAUUACACUCCAAUUUUACAUCCACAUUUACACUCCAAUUUUACAUCCACAUUCCACUCCAAUUUUACAUCUACAUUACACUCCAAUUUUACAUCCACAUUACACUCCAAUUUUACAUCCACUUUUACACUCCAAUUUUACAACCACAUUACACUCCAAUUUUACAUCCACAUUACGCUCCAACUUUACAUCCACAUUACACUCCAAUUUUACAUCCACAUUCCACUCCAAUUUUACAUCUACAUUCCACUCCAAUUUUACAUCUACAUUACACUCCAAUUUUACAUCCACAUUACACUCCAAUUUUACAUCAUAGUUCGUCAUUAAACAUUCAGUAAAAAUGGACGUGGGUUCGAAAAAUGUGAACCUACAAUCUUUGGUAAAAACUAUAGGACAUACUAUAUACUGUUAGUAAUUUAACAUUUUAUCUCGAAGACCUUGCGGUCCCCGAGCAACAACAAACCUCACUUCCGGUUUUAUUAUUGACCGGUCAAUAAUUGUCUCAUUGCAAAAUUUAUUGACCGGUUGCCCCUCACCAAGGCAUGCAGUGAGCAUGAUGUUUUGUGGAACGGCACAUGAUAUGGUUUUGUCCAAACUGCAAGCUGGAAAUAGAACUUUAACACUUGCUAUAUAAUAUCAAGCGUUCACUCUAACUAAGUUCAUCAUGGGUGCUUACGCAGAUCUUUAAUAAUUAUGUGUUAACAUCAAAACGUCUUUUUUUACUUCUAUAAAAUAGACAUGGUUUACCGAGUUUGUUUGGUUGGCAUACUGUCCCUUCAGAUGCCAAAGAAAUUGUUCUGACAGCCGAUGAAUUUGAUGCGAUGGCUGUAUAUCAAGCUACGUCAUUUCCGGCAAUUUCACUUCCGUUUGGACUGUCAUCUCUACCACCAGAGGUACU